GGUCCUGGUGAGGACACAUCUGUGUGAACUUGAGCAACCCAGGGAAGAGGAAGUCAGUGGAAAAUAGUGCCUGGAAGACAAAGAGAAGAGAAUAGAGGGUGGCCAUUCUGAUAGCCUGGGAAGCAGAGCCUCCUGCCAGAAGCUGGAAACAGGCACUUCGAGGGUGGAGAAAAUAAGACAGGAAUUUACGCUGAAGCAGGUGGCCAAAUAUACAUAUUCAGGCACCGAAGUGAAGUAACUGCGUGGUGACUGAUGCAAGACGCUGCUCAGACGCGGGCUGCUUCCUCAAGGAAUAGUCCAUGCGGGGAGAGAGGAGAUUUUGUUACAUCUGCCCAAAUGAAAACGUUCAUCGUCACCCAAUUCUGGGCCUCUUCUGCCAGAUGUGCUGAUCUGUCUCCCACAUUAUCCAUCUGCUUAGCUGAUGGCAGCCCACGCUCACUCCAGAGCACAGAGCUUUGUGUCCUAAAUGAUGGGGAGCAGGCGUGGAGGUGAGCAGGUCCAUCAUCAAACACACCGCCACACUUCCAGUCCUGUGAUAGUCAGCCCCGGGGCUUGGUAGAUAAAAGGUUUGUAAGUGUAAGAACUUUUAGCAGCAACAACAACAAAACGAGGAAAAAGUUGUAAAUAGAAAACGGAGUUCUGAUCGGAGCAGGCAGCCAGGAGCUGCAGCCUCCCAGAUUAGAUCCUAUGAGCAGCUGCCCCGGGGUUUGGAAGUCAGUCUCCCCUUCCAGAAAGAGACUGUAGGAACAUACAUGUGGAAACUCUCCUUUUGCUAACUCAGGUUUGAAUUUUAAGUCAGCAGGGUGUAAAGGUGAUGGUAUACUUUUGUGAGAUUUCAGAACCUGGUGGGUAAUCGGAGAUGCUGAUUGAUCUUUCUUCUAAGUGCCAAAUGACCUGCUGGGAGUGUGUGCUGGUCAGUCUGAUGAGCACCGACGUGGGCAGACCUGUCCAGGACGGGUUUGCUCUCAGCCUAGAAUGACUGCUCCAGCCCUAGCCUUUGCAUCCUACUCAGUCCUGCGCCAGGUGCUGGGAAUACACAGAAAAGUAAGAAAAAGUUUCUGUCUUCCAGAAGCUCAGUUUGGAGGAGUGCUUUGCAAUCUUUUAUGCACACUGGAAUCCCCUGGGGAUCUUGUUCAAAUGCAGAAUCUGAUUCCUGAGGCCUCUUAGGUC